UACGGGGGGGGCAAGCGUUGUUCGGAAUUACUGGGCGUAAAGGGCUCGUAGGUGGUCAACUAAGUCGGACGUGAAAUCCCUCGGCUUAACCGGGGAACUGCGUCCGAUACUGGAUGACUUGAGUUCGGGAGAGGGAUGCGGAAUUCCAGGUGUAGCGGUGAAAUGCGUAGAUAUCUGGAGGAACACCGGUGGCGAAGGCGGUCUACUGGGCCGUUGCUGACGCUGAGGCGCGACAGCGUGGGGAGCAAACAGG
rnacentral:rRNA from 1 species